UACGUAGGGUGCAAGCGUUGUCCGGAAUUAUUGGGCGUAAAGAGCUCGUAGGCGGUUUGUUGCGUCGGCUGUGAAAUCCCGAGGCUCAACCUCGGGUCUGCAGUCGAUACGAGCAAACUAGAGUGUUGCAGGGGAGACUGGAAUUCCUGGUGUAGCGGUGGAAUGCGCAGAUAUCAGGAGGAACACCGAUGGCGAAGGCAGGUCUCUGGGCCGCAACUGACGCUGAGGAGCGAAAGCAUGGGGAGCGAACAGG
rnacentral:rRNA from 1 species